UACGUAGGGACCGAGCGUUGUCCGGAUUCAUUGGGCGUAAAGAGCUCGUAGGCGGCUGCUCAAGUCGAAUGUGAAAACUCGAGGCUCAACCUCGAGCCUGCAUUCGAUACUGGGCGGCUAGAGUCUGGUAGGGGGGAUCUGGAAUUCCUGGUGUAGCGGUGGAAUGCGCAGAUAUCAGGAGGAACACCGGUGGCGAAGGCGGGGAUCCUGGGCCAGUACUGACGCUGAGGAGCGAAAAGCGUGGGGAGCAAACAGGG
rnacentral:rRNA from 1 species